rnacentral:tRNA from 1 species
CCUAUGUAGCUCAGUGGUAGAGCACUUCCUUGGUAAGGAAGAGGUCCCGGGUUCAAAUCCCGGCAUCGGCU